GCUGCGAUGGCUGAGAGGUUAAGGCGUUGGACUUGAAAUUCAGUGGGUUACCCCUCGCAGGUUCAAACCUGCUCACAGCA